UGGGGAAUAUUGGACAAUGGGCGAAAGCCUGAUCCAGCCAUGCCGCGUGUGUGAAGAAGGCCUUAUGGUUGUAAAGCACUUUAAGCGAGGAGGAGGGUACUGGUAUUAAUACUACCAGCUACUGGACGUUACUCGCAGAAUAAGCACCGGCUAACUCUGUGCCAGCAGCCGCGGUAAUACAGAGGGUGCGAGCGUUAAUCGGAUUUACUGGGCGUAAAGCGUGCGUAGGCGGCUAAUUGAGUCGGAUGUGAAAUCCCCGAGCUUAACUUGGGAAUUGCAUUCGAUACUGGUUAGCUAGAGUGUGGGAGAGGAUGGUAGAAUUCCAGGUGUAGCGGUGAAAUGCGUAGAGAUCUGGAGGAAUACCGAUGGCGAAGGCAGCCAUCUGGCCGAACACUGACGCUGAGGUACGAAAGAAUGGGGAGCAAACAGG
rnacentral:rRNA from 1 species